GCAGGAAGUACUGUCGGUCCGGCAGGGCGAGGAACACGAACUCUGCCGCCUGACGCAGCACCCAGGGGUGGUGGGGGGCCAGAGCCACAAUGUAGGCGUUCCUGAGGGGGGGUGGAAAUCAUAGCAUGUUAGCAUGAUGUAAUGACCGUGGAGCAGCUAAUAUUAGCCUGUUAGCAGGAUCAUGCUACUGUUAUGAGAUUAAAACACUGCCUGUUGGAAUCCUCCUCCUUGUGAGCCGUUAGCUUUAGCCUCUUUGAGCUAUACAACGAGCCGUUAGCAUUAGCCUGUUAGCAUCACCUGCACAGCUCUCCAGGUGUUUUGAACUCUCCGUCGGUGCCCGGUCCUUCGGCCAAACCCUCCAGCAUGAGUUUUAACCAGAGCAGCGAUCGGUGCAGCCGCAGCAGCGUCCUGCAGCCGGAGUCUGUGCGGCGGGAGAAGUCGACCACGCCCUCCUGUAGCUCCACCUUCACCAUGCUUCGGAGCGAACGAUACGCCUAGAGAGCAAAAACAAAGUCAGAUAAAAUCUUCACAUACUCCAGCUUUAUUGUAUGACACUCACCCCUGUUUUCAGUCCAAAUGCGGCUGGGGUGUGUAGACUACGUUUCCCAUGAUCCUUUGCGCUGUGUUUGAGUGACAGCUCCUGUAUCGCUACUAUUUUCUCCGUCACUUUCCCGGAGAAUAAACUGACCAUCGUCCCGAGGGAGUUCAUGAAUCUGAAAGAGACAUGAUUUUAGACAUGAGUAUAUCUACUGCUAAUGUUAGCAUGUCCAGCUAAUUAGCUAGGCUAGUUUUAUUCUUUAUGCUAAGCUAAGCUAACCAGCUGCUGUGAGAGCAACUAACUCAUUGAAUGUUUUAAAUCCUUUAUAAAUGUAUAUUCAGUGUACUUGAGCAGCUGAUCCCAGCCCUGCAGGUAAGGCCCCAGCAGGACGUCAUCGGGGUCGCUCAGGCUGAGCUUUAAAUACUUCAGCAGCUGCCCGGCCUGAAACGAUUGGCCGGGACACUCCUUAAUGAGGGGCGGGGCUUCGCCGGCAACCAAUGGGGGCACAGCCUGAAAGAAAACACGUUUAUACACAUUUCCUUUUUUAUUUCUAUAAUAGAAAUGUUCUAUAAAUGAUUUGUUAUUGUAUUUUAAAUAUGUAUUUUUUAUUUGAUCAAAAUGUGUGUGUACCGUUGGCCGGAAAGACUUCAAACAUGGCUGCCCAGCGCUGCCACAGUCUCUGCCUCCACCCUGAGCUGAAGACAGAAUUAUAAAAUAAAAGAAAUUAUUAUUUUUAUUGUUAACAAAUAAAAACUAUUUAAAAAGAGUUACUACAAUAACAAAUUAAAAUAAAAAACAUUAAAAUAUGCCGGGAAAAAAAUGAACUGCUCUAAAAAUGAACUGCUCUACUCUACCUAUUUAUUGAUAUUUUAAUAUCAAAAGACAUUAAGAAAUAUUGUCAUUAUAGUGAAUUUAAAGUACAGUAUUUCCCUAUUCAUUUUAUGUAUAGGGAAAUAAAAUAUAUAAUGUGAAUUCUCAAGUGAAAGUAGUGUUUCAGGGACUCCAUGGUAAAGGAGAAACUGACAGAGGUGGAGCCACAAUGGCCGCCACAGAGAAACUCACGGAGCCAGAAGGAGCUGAAGAAGAGGAGCAGUGCCAACAUGGCCGCCAGCAGCAGGUGACGAGGCCUCGCCGUCCGCCUGAGGAGAACCAUGGGUGUUUGAGAUCUCUCCGAACAGAUGCUGAGCCUCCUGAGAGUCAGACUCCUCAAAGAGGGCCUGGCCGCUGACAGGAGUGUGUGUGAGGAUCAGUGUGUGUACGCUCUUCAGUCCGGCCUCACACAGCGCCGUCGCCGCCUGCAGGCCGAGGUCGGAAACACGCUCUAACUCCAACACCUGCAGGGGUGGGCUGGCGCAACCUGCAGGCUGCUGAUGUUCCUGCAGCCUGCGCCCAGGGCCCAGAGAACCUCGUGACCCAGAGGAUCUGAAGAGCUCCUGCAGGAAAAAAUACAAUGUCUGAAUUUCAGGUCUUAUGUAAAACAAAGAUGGCCGCCGUACCUCCGCCGACACCCUGGCAUUUUCAAGCCGGAGGCGUGUCCAAACGGCCGGGUGCCUAGCAACAAACAGCCAAUCGGAGCAGACCUCGGCGGCGCACAGCAACGAGCGCACGUCCAAAUAUGGAAACACGCAGAAGAGCCCCGCCCUCAGACGCAACGUGUCCGCCAGGCGAGGACGGGCAGGGGAGGGGGAGGCAUCUGCAGGGGGGAGGAGGAAGAGGAGAGGCUUUUAUUGUGAAGGGGCCCCAGGAAGUGAUGCAACAACAUGAAAAAUAAGACAGUUUACCUGAGCCAGGUGUGUUCUUCUGGACGAAAACAAGCCUCCUGAUCUCAGCGCUGCUCCAGAAUCCUUCCUCGUCUAUUUCUUCAUCAUCAUCAUCAUCAUCAUCAUCCUCCUCCUCCUCUUCUUCUUCUUCGGUGCUGUAUUGGCGACAGUUUCUUUUGCUCCACGUCCUCUGACAUCCUCCCUCCUGCACCCUGGAAAACGAAGAGGACUUUUAAAAGCACUUAUUUACAUUACUACAUAAUGAAUGCCAGUAUGUAACAUCUAAAAAACACAACCCACUGCUGCAUUGUGGGUAAUGUAGGCGCCAGGUUAACAUUAUAGAAAUUAGCUUUAAAGACCAUUGCAUUGUAUUUUAGUCUAAAUCUGCUAAAUGUACACUUUUACGUACGUCCGUCUCUCUCUUCGGGUCCAGGGUGGAGCGUAGUGUUGGAGGUGGACCAGACCUCCCUCUUCAUCCCACCCCCCCGAACCCAGAGACGAGGUCCGCAUCAGACCGGACACACCACUGCAGCAUGAGAGGAAAAUGAAACCUCUGAGUUAUCAGGGAAAGAGAGGAAUAUCUUUUCAACGCCUUUUCUGAUAUUUUUCAUUUGUCUUUUGGGAAUUCAUCACAGAUUUAUAACACAAUUCUGUGAUUUAUUUUCCUACAUUGCGGUGUGUUUUUCACCAUGUAUUUAUUAAGAUAUAUCAGGAGAAUUUAUCCAAUAUAUUUUUUGACAAAAUAAAAUCCUGAUAUAGUGUUUCAUUUAUUUUUGAGAAUUGUUUUAAUAUAUUCAUUUUAAAAGUGCAAAAUGAUGAGAAAAAGGCUCAAUAUAAAUUCUGUCAUGGUGCUCGUGAUGCGUUCAGGUACCUGUAGGGAUGUUGGCUGUACAGCUGCUCCCCCAGCCUGCAGGAGCCCGACACACUGUAGCUCCUCUGCAGGGAAGAGGAAGAGUUGAUGUCAGGUAUUGGCACACAUUUCUGUAAAUUAAUAUUAAUAUUUCUGUGUCUCUCACCCGGUUUCCGAUGCUACCCUGCAUCUUGUCUGCCAGGACGUCCUCGGUGCUGGCGUCCAGACUGCGGCCCCCCCACCCGACUGCAGAUCUUUCUUCAGGCGCUCCAUCAUCUCCGCCGCAGCAGAGACCUGGUG